rnacentral:rRNA from 1 species
GUGUGGACGCCAGUCUGCAUGGAGCCGACCUUGAAAUACCACCCUUUAAUGUUUGAUGUUCUAACGUUGGCCCGUUAUCCGGGUUGCGGACAGUGUCUGGUGGGUAGUUUGACUGGGGCGGUCUCCUCCUAAAGAGUAACGGAGGAGCACGAAGGUUGGCUAAUCCUGGUCGGACAUCAGGAGGUUAGUGCAAUGGCAUAAGCCAGCUUGACUGCGAGCGUGACGGCGCGAGCAGGUGCGAAAGCAGGUCAUAGUGAUCCGGUGGUUCUGAAUGGAAGGGCCAUCGCUCAACGGAUAAAAGGUACUCCGGGGAUAACAGGCUGAUACCGCCCAAGAGUUCAUAUCGACGGCGGUGUUUGGCACCUCGAUGUCGGCUCAUCACAUCCUGGGGCUGAAGUAGGUCCCAAGGGUAUGGCUGUUCGCCAUUUAAAGUGGUACGCGAGCUGGGUUUAGAACGUCGUGAGACAGUUCGGUCCCUAUCUGCCGUGGGCGCUGGAGAACUGAGGGGGGCUGCUCCUAGUACGAGAGGACCGGAGUGGACGCAUCACUGGUGUUCGGGUUGUCAUGCCAAUGGCACUGCCCGGUAGCUAAAUGCGGAAGAGAUAAGUGCUGAAAGCAUCUAAGCACGAAACUUGCCCCGAGAUGAGUUCUCCCUGACUCCUUGAGAGUCCUGAAGGAACGUUGAAGACGACGACGUUGAUAGGCCGGGUGUGUAAGCGCAGCGAUGCGUUGAGCUAACCGGUACUAAUGAACCGUGAGG